GACGAACGCUGGCGGCGUGCUUAACACAUGCAAGUCGAACGGAAAGGCCAUGCUUUUGUGGGGUGCUCGAGUGGCGAACGGGUGAGUAACACGUGAGUAUCCCCCCCUUGACUUUGGGAUAUCUUCAGGAAACUGGGGCUAAUAUCGGAUAGGAGCUCCUGCUGCAUGGUGGGGGUUGGAAAGAUUCGGCGGUUGGGGCUGGACUCGCGGCUUAUCAGCUUGUUGGUCGGGUAGUGGCUUACCAACGCUAUGACGGGUAGCCGGCCUGGGAGGGUGACCGGCGACAAGGGGACUGAGAUAGGGCGCAGACGCGAACGGGAGGCAGCAGUGGGGAGUAUGACGGAGUGGGCGGAAGCCUGAGGCAGCAACGCCGCGAGCGGGAUGACCGCCUUCGAGUGGUAAACCGCUGUCGCCUGUAACGAAGCGUGAGUGACGGUAAUGGGUAAAGAAGCACCGGCUAACUACGUG
rnacentral:rRNA from 1 species